UGGGAGCUUGCUCCCAGGCGUCGAGCGGCGGACGGGUGAGUAACACGUGGGAAUCUGCCCAUUAGUGGGGGAUAACUCGGGGAAACUCGAGCUAAUACCGCAUAAUCCCUACGGGGGAAAGCAGGGGAUCUUCGGACCUUGCGCUGAUGGAUGAGCCCGCGUCGGAUUAGCUUGUUGGUGGGGUAAUGGCCCACCAAGGCGACGAUCCGUAACUGGUCUGAGAGGAUGGCCAGUCACACCGGGACUGAGACACGGCCCGGACUCCUACGGGAGGCAGCAGUGGGGAAUCUUGGACAAUGGGCGCAAGCCUGAUCCAGCCAUGCCGCGUGUGUGAAGAAGGCCUUCGGGUUGUAAAGCACUUUCAGUAGGGAGGAAGGCUUUGGGCUAAUACCCUGGAGUACUUGACGUUACCUACAGAAGAAGCACCGGCUAAUUUCGUGCCAGCAGCCGCGGUAAUACGAAAGGUGCGAGCGUUAAUCGGAAUUACUGGGCGUAAAGCGCGCGUAGGCGGUGUGUUAAGUCGGAUGUGAAAGCCCAGGGCUCAACCUUGGAAUUGCAUCCGAUACUGGCACGCUAGAGUGCAGUAGAGGGAGGUGGAAUUUCCGGUGUAGCGGUGAAAUGCGUAGAGAUCGGAAGGAACACCAGUGGCGA
rnacentral:rRNA from 1 species